CCUACGGGAGGCUGCAGUGAGGAAUAUUGGUCAAUGGCCGCAAGGCUGAACCAGCCAAAUCGCGUGAAGGAUGACGGUCCUAUGGAUUGUAAACCUCUUUUGUCAGGGAGCAAAUGGCGCUACGUGUGGCGUUUUGCGAGUACCUGAAGAAAAAGCAUCGGCUAACUCCGUGCCAGCAGCCGCGGUAAUACGGGGGAUGAGAGCGUUAUCCGGCUUUAUUGGGUUUAAAGGGUGGGAAGGGGGAAUGUAAAGUCAGCGGUAAAAUUUCGGGGCUCAACCCCGCCGUGCCGUUGAAACUGGCGGUCUUGAGUGUACGAGAGGUAGGCGGAAUGCGUGGUGUAGCGGUGAAAUGCAUAGAUAUCAUGCAGAACACCGAUUGCGAAGGCAGCUUACCGGCGCUCAACUGACGUUGAUGCACGAAAGCGUGGGUAGCGAACAGGAUUAGAUACCCUUGUAGUC
rnacentral:rRNA from 1 species